rnacentral:rRNA from 1 species
UUUUGUCCUUCUCAGGGAGAGCUGAAAGUGCGUUAAGGGCACCUGAAUGGGCCCAGCAUGUCUGGUAAUAACUCGUCAGGGCUUAAAGGUAUGUGAAAGUGGGAAUGUAUGUAUGGUCUUUAGUAGUUCUCCCUGCCAAGUUUCCCUGUUCCAUGUGCAACUCCUCAAACCAUUCCCGUUUUCUUGCUUCCAAUUGCAUGCUGGAAACUUGUAAUUUUGUUAUUCCAUAGUAAGGGUGAGCCUACAAGUCCCAGCAUGCAGUGCAGGGUGAAAAAAGGACUGGCUCAAAGAUUUUGCAUGGAACAGGAAAAUCUGACAGCUAUGUAUGGCCCUGUCCAGCAUAGGUCCCAGCACUCCACGUCCCUCACCGGAGGGAAAAGCUCUAUUACGUCAUGGCCAGAGCUCCAGGUCAGCCAGGGGUGCUGCCCCAGCCUUUGGGCACCUGCUUUGCACAUUGAUCUACUGUCACCCUGCCCAGCGGCAGUCCUGCCACACCCCGGCAGGGUCCCUGUCCCUCCCUGGAGGAAAAAGAUCUAAUGUGCCCUGGCCAGAGCUCAAGGAUGGCUGGGGGUGUGGCCCCCUCCUGUGGGCCUCUUGCCCGCACGCAGAUCAACCUUUUGCAUGUCUAUUUGUGGUCCUCGGGGUGCCCCGGUGGGGUCCCUGUCCCUCCCUCGAGGGAAAAGCUCCAUCGCUUCCCAGCCAGAGCUCCAGGUAAACCAGAGGUCUUGCCCCCUGCUUUGGGUGCCUGCCUCGCACAUGGCCCAUCCAUCCCCCCUCCCCUCCACGUUACCCAGGGUACACAGAUUACAAGAAAGCUUAGUCACUUCCACUGGAUUACUGUAGACAGGUUGUAUGGGUCCUGUCUGCGCACCACUUGGUUCUCGCUGCCUGACCUGGGCUAUGUGUUCACACCCCCGUACCCCACACAAACCCGUCCAAGGGCAGUUCUCCAUGAGGGGUUCCAGCAGAGCCAGCCUGCUGGGGGUGGGAGUCCUGCAUGAUACCUUUGGAGCUCUUCUGAGAGUCCUACCUUUUCCAGGGCCAACUUCAUGUUUGUUGCCUCCUUGGGAGCACGGGAGCCUGUCGUUCCUUUGCCAGGGCACCAGGGGCCCUUCAGCCCAGGCCCAUUUGAUUGGCUGUGCUCUGAGCCCACGUGGAGCCAGGCGUAGAAUCAGAGAGCCCAGUGGGCCACUUUGGUAAGCAGAAAUGGCACUGCAGGAUGAACCGAAUGCUGGGUUAAGGCAUCCUAUGCCGACGAUCAUCAGACCCCAGAAAAGAUGUUGGUUGAUAUAGACAGCAGGACUGUGGCCAUGGACGUCUGAAUCCACUAAGGAGUGUGUAACAACUCACCUGCCAAAUCAAGUAGCCCUGAAAAUGGAUGGCAUUUGAGCAUCAGGCCCAUACCCAGCCGUUGCUGAGAGCCGCAGGGACUAAGCCACAACGAGUAGGAGGGCCGCUGCGGUGUGCACGGAAGCCUGGGUGAAGGGCCGGAUUGUGGUAGAGGCAAACAUUCAAACGUGAACAUUGAAGGCUGAAUCCGAGAACGGUUCCAUGUGAACAGCAGUUGAACAUGGGUCAGUCGGCCCUAAGAGUAGGGCGAGUGCUGUUUGGAAGGGAUGGGCGUUGCCCUCAGCCCUCACAGUGUGGAACAUAAGCAAUAACGGAGAAGCCAGCGGGAGCCACAGGCAAAGAGUUUUUCUUUGCUAACGGCAAUGGGAUGGGCUCACCCCGAGAGAGGCCCGAGCAUUGAAAAGUGCUGCUGGUCCUUGAAAAUCCAGGGGAGAUGGUGUAAAUCACGCACCAGGCUGUACCCAUAUCUGCAGCAGGUCUCCAAGUUGAAAAGCCUCUAGCAUGUUGGAACAAUGUAGAUAAAGGAAGUUGGCAAGUCAGAUCCAUAGCUUUGGGAUAAUGAUGGCUCUAAGGGAUGGGUCGGUCAAGCUGGGGAGACUCUGGACGUGAGCCAGGCCUUUCCUGUGGAUCACACCAGAUGCGGCUGUCGCUUCUCUAUAUUCCCAUUCGGAGUGGGCGUUCUGCCUUGGCCAAAGCCUAGCAGCUGACUUAGAACUGGGUCGGACCAGUGGAUCCAGACUGUUUAAUAAAAAAAAAAGCAUUGCAAAGGCCCACAGUGGGUGUUGAAGUGAUGUCAUUUCUGCCCAGUGCUCAGUCAAAGUGAAGUAAUUCAGUGAAGCUUGGAUAAACGGCAGGAGUAACUAUGACUCUUAAACUAGCCAAAUGCCUCAUCAUCUAAUUAGUGACACGCAUGAAUGGAUGCAAGAGAUUCCCAAUGUCCCUACCUACUAUCUAGUGAAAGGGGCUUGGCGGAAUCACCUGGGAAAGAAGACCAUGUUGAGUGUGGCUCUAGUCUGGCACUGUGAAGAGACAUGAGAGGUGUAGGAUAAGUGGGAAGCCUUCGGGCCUUCAGGGAAAUACCACUACUCUUAUUGUUUUUUUCACAUUUCUGGUGAGGCGGAGGCCGGCGAGCCCUGUGGGUCUCUCACUUCUGGCUCUAUGUGCCUGGCACUCAGCGCACAAUCUGCUCUGGGUACAAUGGUGGGUGGGGAGUUUGACUGGGGUGAUACACCUGUCAGACAAUAACAGAGGUGUCCUAAGGUGUGCUCAGGGAGGACAGAAACCACCUGUGGAGCAGAAAGACAAAAGCUAGCUUGAUCUCGAUUUUCAGUAUGAAUGCAGACCAUGAAAGCGGGGCCUCGCACUCUUUCCGACUUGUUGCGUUUCAAGCAGGAGCUGUCAGAAAAGUUACCACAGGGAUAACUGGCUUGGGGCGGACAAGCGUUCACACUGAUGUUGCAUUUUGAUCCAUCAAUGUCAGCUAUUCCUAUCAUUGUGAAGCAUAAUUCACCAAGAGUUGGAUUGUUCACCCACUAAUAAGGAGUGUGAGCUGGGUUUAGACUGUCGUGAGACAUGUACGUUUAACCCUAUUGAUGAUGUGUUGUUGCAAUAGUAAUCCUGCUCAGUAUGAGAGGAAACCACAGGUUCAGACAUUUGGUGUAUGUGCUUGGAUGAGGAGCAAAUGGGGCAAAGUUACCAUCAGUGGGAUUAUGACUGAACACCCCUAAGUCAGAAUCCCCCCUAAACUGUAACAAUACUGCUGCGCUGUGUGGCCCAGUUGGUCUAUUAUAACCGCCUCCGGGCCAGUCCACAGAGCCGCUUGCCUCGGGACUAGAGUGUGGGCAGAAGGGGGCCACCUCUCUCACCUGUAGUGCACUGCAUGUUUGUGAGGAGCUUGGUGCUAAAUCAUUUGUAAACAACCUGAUUCUGAGCCAGGGUUUCUUAAGUAGCAAAGCAGCUACCUCGCUGCAAUCUAUUGAGUCUUCCUCUGAGCCACGCUUAUUUCAGCGCA